rnacentral:misc_RNA from 1 species
CAAUUAAAGUGAUUUUUUAUACUUUUUUAAAAAAAUCCAUACCCACCUUGUGUGCAAUGUAUGAAAAAGAAGGGUUUUUUUCUCUUCUUUUUUUUAUAUCAUCAACUCCUCUUUGCUUUGAAACCAGUUUGUCUGAAAUAAAAAUAUUCUUUGAAUAACUUAAUUCAAAAAUA